rnacentral:lncRNA from 1 species
UUAACAAAAAGUUUGUUAUUGUUGUAUUUAAAAAUGAAAAUGAUAACAGAGGAAAAUGUUCAAUGGAAGUUAUACCAUCUUGCUUGCUUAUUGGAGCUGAUAUGUGUUAUUGGCCACCAAAACGCACUAGUUUAUCCAGAAUUGGACAUUAUAUUGAAACAUGUGCCAAAUAUGAAAUCAACUGGCAAAGGUUUUCCAUAAAGAUUCUUUCAAGCACAGACAACCUUAAAUCUGCCAAUGAACUUGCUGAAAAAAUCCUAUACACGUCAAAUGUAGAAAGAGAGGAUAGUGAGUUUGAAACAGAACAUUGUACAAAAAAAAACAAAACCUUUUCUUGAUGCAGAAAGUGAUGGCGAUAUUUCUGAUGUGUCUGCAAAAAUGUGUGGUUUAAAAAAAAGUACUAAAAAAUCUAAAUUUACACUUUCAGUAUUUAAUCCAGUUAUCAUGUCUAAAACGCCAGACAGACUUGAUGUACCAGCUGCUGAAAUAACAGAAGUUCCAACAAGAAUCACAAAUUGAUUUUGCAGUAAAUAAAGCAAAACUGCAGCAUUUUGAUCAGCAUGCUUUUGCGAUGAGAU